CAAUUGAAAAACUUCUUGACUCAUACUCCACUUCCUUCUCUUCUUCAUUCUAUCACCAUCUAGAAAUCUUGAGAGAUUGUUUAUAUCAUCAAAUUUAUCAAAUUAAUCCUUUCCCCUAAAUCACUUAGAUUCAUAAUCAAUUAUAAAUCAAAUUGUGAGGAGGGUGUGCGGUGUCAUGACUAAGAGGAAAGGAUGAGAAAUGGGAUUUGCUCAAUAGCUUAAUUCAAUCAUCUAUUGAGGGGAACCAAGAAACUCGGGAAAGAGACUUUGUGAUUAAGCUUGUUGAUCUCCGAAGUAUAAUUUGAAGGUUGGAUAAUAUUUUGUUAGGUGCACGUAUGGAUUAGUAGUCCCAAGAACUCGGCUCUUGACCAUUUUCCCAUUUUGUAUGUAAACGGGUCAUUUUGGAUAAUCUAGAUGUGUCUAGUUUUAAAUUGUCAAAUUGUGGUAAAUGGUAAUGAAUGUUAUUAUGAAAGUGUCGCAAGUUGUAAAUGGUCUAGGAAGAAUGUGUUUAUUGAAAAAAAAGAGGAAGUACUUCAUGGUGUAUGAAAUGGUGUCUUGACUCGUAUGACCAUCCACAAGUCAUAUACCUCUUUUGUUGCAAAAUGAUAAAACUAAUGAUUUAUUACGUUUA